GCUUUUGAAGUAUGACAAAGAAGUUGCAGCCUUCCAUGAUGUUAUUAGGGAAGAGGACAUCAAGUUUCCACCAAGCUACCCAUACAGUGAAGAGCAUGCUAAACCAACCCAGUACAUGAACACUCGCUGUCCUGCCUGGUGUGAUCGCAUCCUUAUGUCACAUACAGCCCAAGAUUUAAUCCACAGGAGAGACGAUGGUGAGAAGAGUGUUGUUUACAACACAAUGGGUCCUAAUGUCUGUAUGGGAGAUCAUAAGCCUGUGUUCUUGUCCUUCUCACUGAAGACAAAUGACCACAUCUGAUACUUCUAAAUGGCUUUGCUGCCUCCGUCCUGA